rnacentral:rRNA from 1 species
CCUACGGGAGGCAGCAGCUAAGAAUCUUCCGCAAUGGGCGAGAGCCUGACCCAGCCAUGCCGCGUGCAGGAAGACGGCCUUAUGGGUUGUAAACUGCUUUUUUAUGGGAGUAACCUCUCGUACGUGUACGAGACUGCAAGUACCAUAAGAAUAAGCAUCGGCUAACUCCGUGCCAGCAGCCACGAUCAAGCUU